rnacentral:rRNA from 1 species
AGUGAACGCUGGCGGUAGGCCUAACACAUGCAAGUCGAACGGCAGCACAGUAAGAGCUUGCUCUUACGGGUGGCGCGUGGCGGACGGGUGCGGUAUACACCGGAAUCUACUUUUUCGUGGGGGAUAACGUAGGGAAACUUACGCUAAUACCGCAUACGACCUACGGGUGAAAGCAGGGGUUCUUCGGACCUUGCGCGAUUGAAUGAGCCAAUGUAGGCUUAGCUAGUUGGCGGGGUAGAGGCACACCUAGGCGACGCUCCGUAGCUGGUAUGAGAGGAUGAUCAGACACACGGUAACUGAGACAGAGUAGAGACACCGACGGGAGGAAGCAGUGGGGAAUAUUGGACGAGGGACGCAAGCCUAAUCCUGGCAUACCGCGGGGGUGAAGAAGGCCUUCGGGUGGGAGAGCCCUGAUGGUGUGAGAGAAAAACAGCAGGUUAAUACCCCACUGUUCUGACGGUACCCAAAGAAGAAGCACCGGCUAACUUCGUG